rnacentral:miRNA from 1 species
UUGGGCCCAAGUCCAAAGUCCACUGAAGUCAAUGAGAGCCUUUCUAUUGACUUCAGUAGGCUUUGGAUCAGGCC